rnacentral:lncRNA from 1 species
AGGAAGCACUAGCCCUUUUGGAUUGUUCUCACAGUCACAUUUCUUACAAAGGAUUGAUCAAUGCACUGCACCUGUUAUAAUCUAAUAAUCUUCCUAAUCUAAUAAUCUUCUGAUUCACUCCGAGUGGCAGCCAGCCAGCCAGCCACCACACUCAACAUUAUGAAUGAAGUAGGACUAUUCCAAAUAGGUCUAUUAGCAACAUUAUGAAUGAAGUAGUACUGUUCCAAAUAGAUCUAUCAGCAACCAUCCAUGGCCAGCCACAUGAAGUUGUCACACAUAUCCUACUUCUCGCCAUCAUACAACAAUGUUCACUCAUUCCUUCUUCAUGCCUGGUGUCUCCCAUUCCUGGAAUUGUAUCAAGAAGUUCAAUAAUUGUAGCUAUGCU